rnacentral:rRNA from 1 species
GUGGCUUUCAUCCAAUACCCUUGUGAACCUUUGGCCUCUUGCUAGCUUCGGCUGGCACAGGAUUUUUACACACUCGAAUGUAAUGAAAACUAUUGUCGUGCGCAAGCACUAAUGUACAACUUUCAACAACGGAUCUCUUGGCUCUCGCAUCGAUGAAGAACGCAGCGAAAUGCGAUAAGUAAUGUGAAUUGCAGAAUUCAGUGAAUCAUCGAAUCUUUGAACGCACCUUGCACCCUUUGGUAUUCCGAAGGGUAUGCUCGUUUGAGUGUCAUUGUACUCUCACACUCUCUGAUCCUUUGGAUCCAGAGAGUGGUGGACUUGGGUGUUUGCUGCUUUCCUUGUGGCUCACCUCAAAUGCGUCAGUGCACCUCUUGGUUGGACAUAGUACGGCGUGAUAAGUAUCUUCGCCGGCACCUCGCGAGAGGGUGGCUGAUCGGGAGCUCUGUGCUUUCAAACCGUCUUCGGACAAUCUCUGACAACUUGACCUCAAAUCGAGUAGGACUACCCGCUGAACUU